UACGGAGGGUGCGAGCGUUAAUCGGAAUUACUGGGCGUAAAGCGCGCGUAGGCGGCUUUGCAAGUCGGGUGUGAAAUCCCCAGGCUUAACCUGGGAACUGCAUUCGAGACUGCAUUGCUAGAGUAUGGGAGAGGGAAGUGGAAUUUCCGGUGUAGCGGUGAAAUGCGUAGAUAUCGGAAGGAACAUCAGUGGCGAAAGCGACUUCCCGGACCAAUACUGACGCUCAUGUGCGAAAGCGUGGGGAGCAAACAGG
rnacentral:rRNA from 1 species